rnacentral:lncRNA from 1 species
UGAACGUCGUCUUAAAACCGAUUUGUUUCUGGCAAUUUUCUCGGAACCGACAUAUUCCAAAUCGUCAACGUGGAAACGACCAAAUCACAGUCCAAGCAUCGUCUAUAAAUCGUCCCGAAUUAUCGAUCAUUCCAGAAAAAAGCAAGUCACGGAAAAGCAUCAAAAACAUUUGCGACGAAGAAAACUCGCGAAUAGAUGUAGCAUCGUGCACAUUAAAAGGAGCACUUUCCUCCCGAUGGUUAGCUAGAUCCACCUCUGGUUGCACAAUUCGUUCAAGAAACGAAUGUGUCAUGAGAAUCC